UACGGAGGGGGCUAGUGUUGUUCGGAAUUACUGGGCGUAAAGGGCUCGUAGGCGGCCAACUAAGUCGGAUGUGAAAUCCCCAGGCUUAACCUGGGAACUGCAUCCGAUACUGGAUGGCUUGAAUCCGGGAGAGGGAUGCAGAAUUCCAGGUGUAGCGGUGAAAUGCGUAGAUAUCUGGAGGAAUACCGGUGGCGAAGGCGGCAUCCUGGACCGGCAUUGACGCUGAUGAGCGAAAGCUAGGGGAGCAAACGGG
rnacentral:rRNA from 1 species